CUGCCAUUCUUCCUUUCCCGUGCAUUUUUUUUUUCCUCUGAAAUCUGCCAGCUCUUGCAAGCCGCUUAGACCAGGCCCCUCGGGUUCACAAGCCUGAGUGGGGGAGAUCAGCUCCAUGUUGGCCCUCCUCUCUUACCUUCUCAACUGUGACUUCAUUGGUCUGUAGUUCAACAAUCAAGGAUUUUGAAUCUAAAAAAAAAAAAAAAUCAUUCUAGCCAGUGGUAAAAUUUGACGACAGACAACAACUGGGGUGAAGUUUGAGCAGCUGAUUCUCCACAGACAGCAAUGGGAAGAGCCCUGAAUUUUCGCAUCUGACGGUUUCAGUGGUUCAAACAUUACCACCAUGGCUGGAUUCGAGCCUCCAGCUGGAUGUCAUUAAACACGAAGUUGAGAAGAGAUGUGAACAGCUGGCACAGGGAAGGCUGGCUCCACCGUACCUCUGCUAUCUGUCCCCAAAGCCUCUAGAAACACAAGGCUCAUGGAGCCUAGAAUCUGAAAUGCCUACCUAGUUGAGACCCCUUCUCCCAGCUCUAAACAUCUAAAGCCCCAAAGCCACCACCCCAUCCCAGUCUACUUCUCUGUAACCUUACCAUCCCCAACCCCUCACCCCCUCUAGCACUUCUGGAUGCAGACUCAGUCCUUUCAAAGUGUACACUUCCAACGUGUGUCGCUGCAGAGGGAGAAAUGAGAUGGGGGGAUGGAGGGGACACUUAUCUCCCUGUCAACAUGUAGGACAGGUGGGUCUGCAUGUCAGUUUGGUCUCUUUCAGCCUGUUUGGUGUCUGUCGAGGCUCCUAGAACACCCUCCAGAUCAUUCUACAAGUGUGUCCUGUUCUUUGGAGCAACACAGAGCACAUCUGGCCAGCCUGUUGGUCCAGGAGCGUGAGAGACACGUGGAACAGAGCUGCCACAUGGAACUGAGCCCAGCCACAUCAGCCAACCCCAGCCGGCCCAACAUGCAGAUCUAUGAUAAUACACAGUUGUUGGUUAAGA